UCCCCUGGAGUCCACGCUAUAAACGAUGAUUACUAGAUGUUGGGUGAAUAGCUCAGUGACCAAGGGAACCGAUAAGUAAUCCACCUGGGGAGUACGCCGGUAACGGUGGAACUCAAAGGAAUUGACGGGGUCCGCACAAGCGGUGGAGCAUGUGGUAUAAUUCGAUGAUACGCGAGGAACCUUACUAGGCUAGAAUGUGAGCGAAUGUUUCAGAGAUGGAAUAGUCAGCAAUGACGCGAAACAAGUGCUGCAUGGCCGUCGUCAGUUCGUGCCGUGAGGUGUUGGGUUAAGUCCCGCAACGAAGCAACCCCUAUAUUCUGUUGCCAGCACGUUAAGGUGGGGACUCAGGAAAGACUGCCUACCAAGUAGAGAGGAAGGAGGGGACGACGUCAGGUCAUCAUGGCCCUUACGCCUAGGGCGAACACGUGAUACAAUGGUGGGUACAGAGUGCAGCAAGCUGGCAACAGCAAGCGAAUCACAAAAGCCUAUCACAGUUCGGAUUGGGGUCUGCAACUCGACCCUAUGAAGCUGGAAUCGCUGUAGUCGCAUAUCAGCCAUGAUGCGGUGAAUACGUUCCCGGACCUUGUACACACCGCCCUCAAGCCAUGGGAGUUGGGUAGACCUGAAGCGGAAGGUUAAAGACUUCGUUAGGGUAGACCAGUGACUGGGGCU
rnacentral:rRNA from 1 species